CAUCAGUUGGCGGAACGGUCACGCGCUAGAGUUUAGCUCUUUCUCAAGCAGUUUCGACUCCUGCACCGAUGU